ensembl:lncRNA
GUUAACGACGCACGCAAAAACGAGGAAAGGUUGUAAUGGAGAAAUAGAGGCACGGUGACUGGGAGAAAUAAGGGAACGCCUCCCUAAUGCUGGUUCAAUGAGAGUCAUAUGACAUCUGUUACCCGUUGACUCCACAAUUACCUCCUAUGGGAAAUGUUGUGGGUCAUCUCCAGUCUUGGGCUCCCCCAGUAUCCACCAGCAUCCUCUCUCAGCAGUAAAGGUAUAUUGGUUCAAUUUGCACGACAUAAAUUAGACGUAAAAAAUUCAAAUGGAUUGCUGUAUAGAAGAAACAACUGUGAAACUUUGAAGGAUAAACAUUUGCUUUCUGUAACAUUUCUAACUUGAAGCUGUGUGUCUUUUAAUGAUUAUGAAUCUAACAGUUAAAAAUUGGUUGUUUUAAACAACAGUAAGAUUGGAGUAAUUCUUUAAGACCAAAUACAUCCCUUGAGAUCAAUAUAAUUUUACAAUGGCAUUACUGUAUAAUUAGUCUCUGUGGAAUAGUGCUAAAGCUCAUUCACUAAUAGAUUUUCUUUUAAAUCUUUUGUCUUCUUCAGUUCAUUUUUGUUUGAUUUUUAUUUUAAAAAUAAAAAAUGAAAGAUGAUCGCUGUCACAAAUAACAGGACUCAAAAUGUGUAUUUUUU